rnacentral:rRNA from 1 species
UAUUGGCCAAUGGGCGCAAGCCUGAUCCAGCCAUGCCGCGUGAGUGAUGAAGGCCUUAGGGUUGUAAAGCUCUUUUGCCGGGGACGAUAAUGACGGUACCCGGAGAAUAAGUCCCGGCUAACUUCGUGCCAGCAGCCGCGGUAAUACGAAGGGGACUAGCGUUGUUCGGAAUCACUGGGCGUAAAGCGCACGUAGGCGGAUCAUUUAGUCAGGGGUGAAAUCCCGGGGCUCAACCUCGGAACUGCCUUUGAUACUGAUGGUCUCGAGUCCGAUAGAGGUGGGUAGAAUUCCUAGUGUAGAGGUGAAAUUCGUAGAUAUUAGGAAGAAUACCGGUGGCGAAGGCGGCCCACUGGAUCGAUACUGACGCUGAGGUGCGAAA